rnacentral:rRNA from 1 species
UGCGAAGGGGGCUAGCGUUGCUCGGAAUCACUGGGCGUAAAGCGCACGUAGGCGGACUCUUAAGUCAGGGGUGAAAUCCCUCGGCUUAACCGGGGAACUGCGUCUGAUACUGGAUGGCUUGAGUUCGGGAGAGGGAUGCGGAAUUCCAGGUGUAGCGGUGAAAUGCGUAGAUAUCUGGAGGAACACCGGUGGCGAAGGCGGCAUCCUGGACCGACACUGACGCUGAGGAGCGAAAGCCAGGGGAGCAAACGGG